UUCCGGUUGAUCCUGCCGGACCUGACUGCUAUCGGAUUGAUACUAAGCCAUGCGAGUCAUUGUAGUAAUACAAGGCAGACGGCUCAGUAACGCGUAGUCAACCUAACCUAUGGACGGGAAUAACCUCGGGAAACUGAGUAUAAUGCCCGAUAGAACAUUAUGCCUGGAAUGGUUUAUGUUCCAAAUGAUUUAUCGCCGUAGGAUGGGACCGCGGCCUAUCAGUUUGUUGGUGAGGUAAUGGCCCACCAAGACUAUUACAGGUACGGGCUCUGAGAGGAGUAGCCCGGAGAUGGGUACUGAGACACGGACCCAGGCCCUAUGGGGCGCAGCAGGCGAGAAAACUUUGCAAUGUGCGAAAGCACGACAAGGUUAAUCCGAGUGGUUUCUGCUAAAGGAACCUUUUGUUAGUCCUAGAAGCACUAACGAAUAAGGGGUGGGCAAGUUCUGGUGUCAGCCGCCGCGGUAAAACCAGCACCUCAAGUGGUCAGGAUGAUUAUUGGGCCUAAAGCAUCCGUAGCCGGCUCUGUAAGUUUUCGGUUAAAUCUGUACGCUCAACGUACAGGCUGCCGGGAAUACUGCAGAGCUGGGGAGUGGGAGAGGUAGACGGUACUCAGUA
rnacentral:rRNA from 1 species